UCCAGCUGUGAUUUAAGAACUCGGAGUAAAACAGGAAGGUUGUUACAAGCUCCUCAAGCACUUGGACUGUCUGUCAGUACAGUGCCUACCCCAAUGGGACCCUGGUCUAUGACUGGGCCUCUAGCUGCUACCACAAUAUAAACAGAGAAUGCAAUGAGCUGCCCAGAGCAAGCCAUGAUGGAUCCAUCUCUGGGUGCACCGGAGUCUGGCCACAUCUGCUUAGGAUUUCACAAGCAGAGAACAGACCCUGCGUUAAAGCUGGGAGAAUAUGUUGAGAAUUUCAGGAGCUGCAAAGAUGCACUGACCCAACACAGUUGUGCAAAGGCACCUCAGUCCAUGUCUGCAGUACAACCUGCUACUCCAGUCCUGAACCCACACAGCUCUGCCAGAACAUUUUAAUACUGAUCUGCAUCAUCUCCUGUUAUUCUGAUCUUUGGCUCCCUCCAUAUUUCUGCCAAUGCAGCUCUAUUUUCACUCUCUCUGCCCCCUCUUAUUCCAGUCCUGGGUCCCCAUCCUGUACUGCUAAUGCAUGGACAUCAGUCAUGAUCAUGAUCUUCAGCACCCUCUAAAAACGGUUAAUCAGUCUAUUUACUGGUUUUGUGAUCUUAAACCAGGUUUGAACUCAGCUCUCCAGAGGUGAAAGCAUAAUGCCUUAUAGAGCAUGCCAACCAAUCCUGUCCCUAACCUAACAAUAUUUUAAUCACAAAAUCCAACCUCAAAACCCACAGCAUUUUCAGUUACUGUAUUUCAUCACCACACAACUGAAAACAACUUUUUUUUUAACCACCCUUGUUUUUUUUGCACAUGAAUCAUAAACCAUGGAACUUAACAGAUGGAAAAGACCUUGACACAAAUCUUCUCUCACUUUUACUAGUGUAAAUCUGGAGCAAGUCCACUUACUUCAGUGGUAUUGUUCCAAAUACACACCAGUAUAAACAGAGCAGAAUUUGGCCUGUAAGGCAUUAGAGACCAGCUAGUGUCCAUUGAAAAGCACUAGUACAGGUCUGUUAGCUACAGAAUAUUCUUUCACUCCAUUUAUUUUUAAAUGUCCUAAGAGACUGAGUUUUCACCUCUUCCUUAGAAGACUAUUUUCCUGCCUAAUAACAGAUUUACAAUUAGGGUUUCUUUCCUGAUAUUCAUCCUAAGUUUUCCUUUGUUUGGCUUUAUCUUGUUAUUCCUAGCCAUCCCCCUAGGUUCACCCUAAGUAACAUUUAAUAAUAAUAUUUUGUUCUUCUGUAGAUCUGUGGGUCUUGAAGGGCUUAGCAAACAUUAAUUAAUCUAACCUCACAAGCAUCCUGGGAGGUGGGAGAAUAUUGUUCUAUAUUAUUAUCUGUUUUACUGAUGGGAAACCUGAGACAGAGAGAGGUUAAGUUCAUGCAGGAAGACUGCAGCAGAGCCAAGAAAGGGAUCUUGAUCUUCUGUCAGUCCUAAGCUAUAACCACAUGAUCAUCCUUCCUCCCAUGGUGUUCACUCCCUUGUGGAAUCACUAGACAUUUCACAACCUGACAAAAUAAAUAUUUACUGCUCCCAGCCUCAGUGGUGUCUGGCUACAGCUAUGCUAGGACAAUAGGUGAUGCCCAGAGAACACGCUUGGUGUUUGAAUUGAUUAAGGGGCUAGAAGAUUGAAAACUAAGGACUGGAUGUGACCUGGUGUAAAUCUGAGUUACUCUAAAUUUAAAUCGGGGUGUGACUAAAAGCAGAAUUUGGCCCUAAGAGCCUGAAUCUCCUCUCACUUAUGUUUGUAUAAAACAGAAGUAUCUCCCCAGAAGUAAAUGGAAUGACACCAGUGUAAAACCAGUGCAUGAGAGAGGCGAAACAGGCUCUUGAUUAUGCCUGUGAAAGUGAAGGAAGGUGCAAGGGGGCCUUCCCUCCUUUGCACUUCGGAGCGGGGCCAGGAAGAGGCCCUGCUCCGUGCUAACACCCACUAGGCACCAGCAGGGGCAGACAGCAGGGCCAUAUUCCCACUCCUUUCCUCUGAACAAUUGGGGAGCACAUGAAGUACCCUGCUAAGGGUGUUGCAGUGGGUAUGUUCCCCCUGUGAACGGGGGAGCUCCCAGACACAUUAUGCCUCCCUGAAGUGCAUCUCCAGGUGGUCUCCCAGGGCGGUGCAGCUCCAGCACAGGACUAUGCC